rnacentral:rRNA from 1 species
AACCCAGACUCCUACGGGAGGCAGCAGUGGGGAAUAUUGCACAAUGGGGGAAACCCUGAUGCAGCGACGCCGCGUGAAGGAAGAAGUAUUUCGGUAUGUAAACUUCUAUCAGCAGGGAAGAAAGAAAUGACGGUACCUGAGUAAGAAGCCCCGGCUAACUACGUGCCAGCAGCCGCGGUAAUACGUAGGGGGCAAGCGUUAUCCGGAAUUACUGGGUGUAAAGGGAGCGUAGACGGUGAAGUAAGUCUGGAGUGAAAGGCGGGGGCCCAACCCCCGGACUGCUCUGGAAACUAUUUGACUAGAGUGCAGGAGAGGUAAGCGGAAUUCCUAGUGUAGCGGUGAAAUGCGUAGAUAUUAGGAGGAACACCAGUGGCGAAGGCGGCUUACUGGACUGUAACUGACGUUGAGGCUCGAAAGCGUGGGGAGCAAACAGGAUUAGAUACCCUGGUAA